CUCAUCUGGCUGUGGCAGUUUGUGACUGAAUGAGAGAAAAGUGCCCUAGAAGCUAUUCAUUAGGAAUUCACUGGAAGCUCUCAAACAAGCCUGGCAGAAGCUGAAAUUGAAGUGGUCUCUGACCUAAUUUUCUUCUGCAUGAAACAUCUGCAUCAAGGCUCUCUUUGAUGUAUUCCACUUGGCUCUGUCUACAGUAUUGUAUCACAUGGCUUCAGUGUUGCCUCAGUUUUAAAAGACAUUUCCAGCCUGUAGAAGCAGGCAAACAGCUCAAAGUUGGGAUCGACUGGAGCAUAAAGAGACAAUUUGGCACCUCCUUUGUACGGCAGCACUCCGAGCUGGACAGGAGAAAGUGACUGGCCCGAUCCUCCUCACCUUGGAUUCCCUGGUGUAGCUUCCUCUCCCGUGGCCCUGCUGUCUCCCAGUGGGAGGCAGAGCUCACACUCAGCACUGGCCCGGACCACUGAAGCUACGAAGGGAAGGGCAGAGUGAGUCCGGCUUCUUCCUCUAGCCUGGCCUUCACCGAGGAGGAGGAGCAAUUGCCCAUAACUGCCUGGAGAGGAGAGAGAAGAAAAGAGAAUGCCUCAUGACGUGAAUUAUUGACUGGCCAGGGUGAGGCAAGGAAACACAAAUUAAUUUCAGUUAGGACAAGGGGAUGCUCAUUGGGGCUCAGACUGGGGACAUUUGAUCUAAAACUGCUGCCUUAUUCACUUACCCUCCCAGUCCCACUUCGAAGUCUUGCUUUGAAUCAACAAUGCUUGAAAUGAAUCCAGGUUCCCCUCCCGGCCGCCCCCCCACCCCUUUUCUUCCGCCCUUUUCACACCAUGGAGGCAGUGUCUCCUUUUGUGUCUCUCCAGAUUUCUCAGUUGAAGCUGAGGAAGCCAUCUAUUGAAGGGGAGCCACAUCCGUCCAGUCCAGAGGAGGAGUAGGGUGUCCUCUGCUAGAGUUUAGAGCCCCUGUGGCCUCAGUCCGAUGUGAGCUGACAUGGUGUUAAUGAGUCAAAAUGACUUUCAUGGGAGAAAGCCCUGCAGUGGUUCACAGUUUGGGGUCUAUUUUUAGCACAGCUGGAAAACACAAGCACACAGAGAUAUUGUUUGCUGUCCUGACUACUGAGGCACAUAAUAUCCUGCUCCCAGGAGGGUUAAUUCCCUAUUCAUGAGCAAUCCUCUGUUUAGGACCAGUCUAGUGAAAUGUUCAUAUUGCUCCCCAGGAGGGGAGGGGAACUCAGUUGUCCAGCUUCCUCAAGAUCAUGGCCACUGGUUCCCUGGCUGAUUUCAGGGAAGUAAGCUGAGAAGACAGAAGGAGAAUAGAGGAGAACAGUGCUGAUAAAAGAAAUAGGUUCUUUUCUCUCCUGGACAGAAUGGCUGAAGGACCCCACUCAAGCUCUCCCUUGGAAAGAUGGAGAUGGUCUUUGCUAAUGUGGGUGGUUGCUGAUCUAAUGUGAGGCAGAGAGAUGGGGUGAGAUGGCAUGGUAAAGAAAUAUUUGAUCUCUAGAAGAUGGGAAGAGGGAGAAAAAGACUUGGUUUCCUCAAAUAUGAAACAAAUACAUAAAUAAUCACUUACUUUUGAAUGAUAUGGUAAUUAUUUUCCAUAAAAACAUUUAGGUAUGCCUGACUGAGAAGAAAUAAAACAUAGAAGGAUCAUUUCA
rnacentral:lncRNA from 1 species